GUACCUGUUUUGGCAGCACAUGUACUAAAAUUGGAACAAUUCAGAGAAGGUUACCAUGGCUGCAAUGUAGGGAUGACAUGGAAAUUCAUGGAGUAUUCCACAGCUUU